rnacentral:rRNA from 1 species
UUCCGGUUGAUCCUGCCGGACCCCACUGCUAUCGAGGUGGGACUUAGCCAUGCUAGUCGAACGAACAGAACUAUGUCUGUAAGUGGCAUACUGCUCAGUAACACGUAGCUAACCUACCCUUAGGACGUCGAUAACCCCGAGAAAUUGGGGCUAAUAGGCGAUAGAUGUAUUGUCCUGGAAUGGUAAUAUGUCCAAAGGUAUCCCAUACAUGUUUGGUAUACGCCUAAGGAUGGGGCUGCGGCCGAUCAGGCUGUUGGUGAGGUAAUGGCUCACCAAACCUUUGACCGGUAUGGGCCAUGAGAGUGGUAGCCCAGAGAUGGACACUGAGACAAGGGUCCAGGCCCUACGGGGCGCAGCAGGCGCGAAACCUCCUCAAUGCACUAACGUGCGAAGGGGUUACCUCGAGUGCCACCUGAAGAAGGUGGCUUUUCCUUGGUCUAAAAAGCCUAGGGAAUAAGAGGGGGGCAAGACUGGUGUCAGCCGCCGCGGUAACACCAGCCCCUCGAGUGGUGGGGAUGAUUAUUUGGCCUAAAGCGUCCGUAGCCGGCCGGGUAAGUUUCCCGUUAAAUCCAGCGUCUCAAGCGUUGGACUGCGGGAAAUACUGCCUGGCUAGAGAGUGGGAGAGGUCAGCGGUAUUCUGGGGGUAGGGGCGAAAUCCUUUGAUCCCCGGAGGACCACCAGUGGCGAAGGCUGCUGACUAGAACACGUCUGACGGUCAGGGACGAAAGCUGGGGUAGCGAACCGGAUUAGAUACCCGGGUAGUCCCAGCCGUAAACGAUGCAUGCUAGGUGUUGGGUUGGCCACGAGCCACCCCAGUGCCGCAGGGAAGCCGUUAAGCAUGCCGCCUGGGAAGUACGAU